rnacentral:rRNA from 1 species
GGAUCCAGACUUUGAUCCUGGCUCAGGAUGAACGCUAGCUACAGGCUUAACACAUGCAAGUCGAGGGGAAACGACAUCGAAAGCUUGCUUUUGAUGGGCGUCGACCGGCGCACGGGAGAGUAACGCGUAUCCAACCUGCCCACCACUUGGGGAUAACCUUGCGAAAGUAAGACUAAUACCCAAUGACAUCCCACGAAGGCAUCCGAAUGGGAUUAAAGAUUUAUCGGUGAUGGAUGGGGAUGCGUCUGAUUAGCUUGUUGGCGGGGUAACGGCCCACCAAGGCAACGAUCAGUAGGGGUUCUGAGAGGAAGGUCCCCCACAUUGGAACUGAGACACGGUCCAAACUCCUACGGGAGGCAGCAGUGAGGAAUAUUGGUCGAUGGGCGAGAGCCUGAACCAGCCAAGUAGCGUGCAGGAAGACGGCCCUAUGGGUUGUAAACUGCUUUUAUAAGGGAAUAAAGUGGGUCACGUGUGACUUUUUGCAUGUACCUUAUGAAUAAGGACCGGCUAAUUCCGUGCCAGCAGCCGCGGUAAUACGGAAGGUCCGGGCGUUAUCCGGAUUUAUUGGGUUUAAAGGGAGCGUAGGCCGGAGAUUAAGCGUGUUGUGAAAUGUAGAGGCUCAACCUCUGCACUGCAGCGCGAACUGGUCUUCUUGAGUACGCACAACGUGGGCGGAAUUCGUGGUGUAGCGGUGAAAUGCUUAGAUAUCACGAAGAACUCCGAUUGCGAAGGCAGCUCACGGGAGCGCAACUGACGCUGAAGCUCGAAAGUGCGGGUAUCGAACAGGAUUAGAUACCCUGGUAGUCCGCACGGUAAACGAUGGAUGCCCGCUGUUGGCCUGAAUAGGUCAGCGGCCAAGCGAAAGCAUUAAGCAUCCCACCUGGGGAGUACGCCGGCAACGGUGCAACUCAAAUGAAUUGACGG